CAGGUAUACUUAUUGUGUAUCUAAUUUAUAUUUUAAUAUAUUUAACAUCUACUGGUCAUCCUGCCAUCUAGGGGAGGGGCUGGGCGGGGGGGGGUAAGAGGUAAAAAAUUGGAACAAGAGGUUUGGCAAUUGUUAAUGCUGUAAAGUUACCCAUGUAUAUAUCCUGUAAAUAAAAGGCUAUUAAAUAAAAAAAAAAAGAAAUAUAUGCAUUGCAAUGCAUUUGAAAUAAAAUAUUAUUGGUCCUACUUUCAGUGGCAUAUUUUGCUAUCAUUAUAACCUGAUUCAUUAUAUCUCCCUAGAUCUCAGUUUUCUAUAAUGGACUUCUGUUUCAGCUCUAUUUCUUAGAAUGGAAUAUUCUAAUAUAAAAAGAAUAGAAUAGCUUCCUUCACAGCUUAGAUCAGACCUUAGUCUAGUGGUAUAAGAAACUGAAUUAAGGCUCCAGUCUCUUCAGGAGCAUGGAUCUCACCAUUGCCAAGUAAUAAAUGUUUCGAAUAUAGGGUGGCUUUUAAGAUUUGUACCUUUGAUGUGAAGGUUGCUGAACCCUUUUCAGGGCUGCUUUCCACCUCUGGCAACUUAUCUGAUUCACCCAACCAUCAGCCAUGGCUCCAAAAAGCUGUUGCAUGGAUAAUGGUCAUGCCCUGGUAAACUGAUUUGGUCAACAGGUUAAAACAGGUUAAGGGUAACUGAAAAAUCUGAAAUUCUUCAGUGAGUUCCAGGGGAGGGGGGGGGGUGUUUAACCUAAGUGUGUGAAGACUUUCCUCAGCAAAUGGAGACAUGAGAAGAAAUUGUUCCAGUGAUCAUGAAGGUGGCUGAAGCAGGUGAUAUAAAGGACCUAGAGCAUGAUUAAGAAUUGAAAAUGUCAAGGUCAUCCACUGGAUCCCCAAGCCCCAUUUGUCUUAACUCUGUCUUGUCCCUGGACUGUGACGAUUCUGAAAUUUGGUCGUCUACCCGCUGUAUCCAUCAUUCUCAGUUCAGACUUACAGGCCCAAAAUUAAGCUCUUCCUGUACAGUAUAAUCUGAAGAAUUGGCCACAGUGAAUUUUUCAAGAGCAGAGCUGGGAGCAGAGCCAGCCCAGAGCUCUCCCUUUCUCAUGAGCCCCCUCCCACUGAGAAGGGAACCUGGCUCCCAGUUAUUAUAACCCACAUUUUACAAUUGAGGAAACUGAGGUUACAUUGAUGUGGUGCAACUCCUAGGGAGGAUAUAGCAACAACCCUAAGGCUACCUGGCCUUGGGAGUGAUCUAGUUAAAAAUAAUAUAUUUCUAUCUGACCACGGUGCUAUGGCCACAAAUACUGCCUACUGUCAGAUAACAGCCUGUUGGUCAGUAAUAAUAGAGUUUCUGAGACUAAUAAGCAACAAUAAUGAAGUGACUCAGGCAAAGAACAAUAUUCUUUUUAGCCUAAAAACAUACCCCUGUAAAGCACAUCUCUCCCACCCCUCUACCUCACCUAACUCCCGGCAGCUCUGCCCAGAGAAUUAUGGAUAUUGUGCCAAUGCACAAAGUCAGAACCAGACCACUUCUCAACCCCACUUCUAAGUCAUAAAAGUAACACAUCAGUGACAAGAAGCUCCUGGUUUCUAAAUUUUUCCUAUAAAUUUAUCUUCUUGCCCCUAGUUCUUUGCUAACUUCUUUUAGAACUUGACCCACUUUAAUUGGUGUUUCAAUUAUAAUAAACUUUGCCCCUUGAUUUGGAGAUGGGUGGGAGUCUGCAAAUUCUUUUGACAUCUCUUGACCUUGGUUUGUAAUCCCAACCUUUUGGGGGCCCCCUUGAAUCUCAACAAUAUGAUUUGUUCAGGGUCACACAGCCAAUAAGUAGAUGAGACUGGAUUUGAACUUGUCUUUUAGACUCUGUGCCUAGCAUUCUAACCAAUAUACCACCUAGCUGCCUCUAAUUUUAUUUGGGGGCUUAGUAAGAGAAAAUGAAGGAGGUAGGCAGCUCAAGGAAUAGAGUAUCAGGACUGAAUACAAAUGUGGCCUCAGACACUUCAAGACCUUGGGCAAGUCAUGUAACCCUAUUUGCCUCAUCAACUGAAAUGACUGAACAAAAAAGGAAAUGAGAAUAAUUUUUUAAAAUUCAAUUCCACAAAUAUUUAUUAAAUGUAUAUAAUGUGUAAAAUACUAUGUCAAGUUCUGAGGAUAUAAAGAUAAAACAAUCUAAUCCCUCAAGCUCCUUAAAUUUAUAUAGUUAGAUUUAUUGACAAAAUACCUUAACAAGUGAGGAAACAGAUCUGGCUUGCCUCAAGUCACAGAAUAGUUAAUAGAGUUCAGAAUUGAACCCAGGUCCUAGAGCCCUCCUUUCUCUACAUACUAGCUGCCUCUCAAAGUCCAAAAUGUCAGUAAUUGAAUGAUUCUAUUGACACAGCCAUUCUUGUAGAGGUACUCCACUGAUGGAGAAUACAAAUUGUCCCUUUCUCAUCCUGGGAGAUUUUUGUUUAUUCGGUUGUUUCUGAUUCACCAUGACCUUAUUUGGAUUUUCUUGGCAAAGAUACUAGAAUGGUUUGUCAUUUCCUUCUCUCCCCACCCAGUCCUACCCACCAACCCCCAUAACCUUAUUUGGAGGGCAUGUUUCAGGAAGUACCAUACCCUUACCUACAGAUGCACUUAAUAUCAUUUUUUUUUCUCUUUUGCACUUCUGAACACUUCCAAGAUAUGGAAGUUUAGAUUUCUUUCUUAAGAAACAAGCCAUAGUAAACCAAAAACUAGUGUGAUUCUCAUUGGCCACCAACAGGUCCUCUGCCAAGACCCAUUUGGUCACUGUUUGGGUUCUGAUUGACUUAGACUGAAUGUAAAUGGCAAUCUUUUCUAUUUUGGUCAGGAUUCCUGAGGUCUUUCACUCAUAAAUAUAGAUAUAGAUAUAAAAUAUAGAGAGAUAUAGAUAUUUAUCUACAUAUAUCUAUAGAUAGAUAGAUAGAUAGAUCUGAAUGGGUGUUACCUCAGUCAAACUGAGACUUGUUGAAGACCUUGGCUUAAAAGGCCAGUGUCUCUCAUUUCACCCAGGCUAUCUCCAGUCAUCCUGAUCUGCAUCUUGGCACUGGACCUAGAUGGCUAUGGAAGGGAAAGUUAAAGUAGGUGAUCUUGCACAGGUCAUUUUAGCUCAUUUGGCACCUUAAAUCCCACAUUUCUGUAAUGGGUAGCAUUUUUCAUCGUCAGCCCUGGAAUCAUUUUUGAUCAUUGUAUUGAUGAGAGUUCAUAGAGCUUUCAAAAUCAUUUCUUCUAUGGAUUGGAGAGGGCUGAAUGUGGAGGCAAAAUGAUCAAUGGGGAGGACAUGAAAUAAUUCAGGGAAGAGGCAAUUAAGAGUUAAAAAAAACAAACAAACACAAAUAUACAACAGAAAGAGUGUGAAUCACUGAGACAUUCCAAAGACCUAAGGAAUAAUAUUUCCUUAGAAAAUUUUGUCAACCUGCACAAAGAAGAUGCAUUUAGCAUAAGAAGGGAAGCAGUUCAGUGGAGAGAAAAAAGGUCUUUAUAUCAGAUUUCUUUGAUAAGAUUUUGGUAUACAAGAUAUGUAAACAACUGAGAGAUCAUAACAAACAAGAGAUUACAGCAUUUGUGUGUGAUAUGUAUUAUAUGUAUAUAUAAAUGUGUGUAUAAAUGUGUAUGUGUGUAUAUAUAAAUAUAUCUAUGUCUGUGUACAUGUGUGCACAUAUAUCUAUAUAUGUGUGUAUAUCAUUUAUUAUCUUUGUUCAAUCAUUGUCAACUCCUCAUCUUUACAUGACUCCAUGCAUUGGGUUCUCUUAGUAAAAAUACUGAAAGGGUUUCACAUUUCUUACUACAGUGUAUCCUUAUUUUGCAGAUGAGGAACUGAGGUAAAAAGGGAUAAAUGACUUGUCCAGGGUCAAACAAUUAGCAAAUGUCUGAGGGUGGAUUUGAACUCAAAUCUUCCUAACUCCAGACCAAUGUUCUAAUCAUUGCACUACCUAGCUGUCUACAAUAUAUAGAGAAAUAGAAUAUAUAAUGUAUGUAUACAUAUGUGUACAUAUAUACAUAUGUGUACAUAUAUACAUAUGUGUAUAUUUAUAUACUAUAUAUACAUGUAUGUAUGUUAUGUAUGUGGUACAUGUGUGUAUACGUGUAUAUAAACAUGGGUGUAUGUAUACACACAUACACACAUGCCAUUUCCCAAUAGAGAGUAGUCAGAAGAUAUGAAUAAACAGUUCUCAAAAGAAAAAUUGCAAAGUACUGACAAUAUAAGAAAGAAUGCUCCAAAUCAUUAAUAAGAAAAGAAAUGCAAAUUAAAACAAUAAUCAAAGUUAGUUUUAAUAUAGUAUUUUAAGGCAGCUGGGGGCAGAAUGGAAAAAGUCAUGGGCCUGGAGUCAGGAACACACCUGAGCUCAGAUAUACGCCAAAGUGCUUACUACAGUGCUGAUACAUAGUUAGCAUUUAAUAAAAAUACUUGUUCCCUUUCCUUUUUAAGAUUUGCAAAAUGUUUUACAAAUAUUAUUUCAUUUUAUCCUUGCAAAAACCCUGGGAGAUUGGUGUUGUUAUUGUUCCCAUUUUACAGAUGGGAAAAUUAAGACAGAAAGAUGUUAAGUAAUAUACUUGGGGCCACAAGGUAGAUUUUAACUCAGGAUUUCCUGACUCCUAGUCCAAGAAAACAUCUACUAUGUCACACUCACUCACACACACACACACACACACACAUAUAAUAGCUCUGAGAUUUCACUUCACACCAAGCAAAUUGAGAAAAAUGGCCCAAAAUGAGACUAGUCAGUGUUGGGGAAUCUUGAAAAGAUGGACACCAAAGGACUAUAAAACUGUGCAUACCCUUUAAUCUAACAAUAUCAUUACUAGGUCUGUCAAAAGAGAUUAUAAAAGAGGGAAAUGGAAAUGUACAAAAAUAUUUGUAACAGCUCUUUUUGUGGUGGCAAAGAAUUGGAAAAUGUGUGGAUAUCCAUCAAUUGGAGAAAUGCUUGAAUAAAUUAUGGUAUAUGAAUGUAAUGAAAUACUACUGUUGUAUAAGAAACGAUGAGCAGAUUGAUUUCAAAAAAGACUAGAAAGUCUUAUAUGAACUGAUGCUGAGUGGAAUAAGAACCAGGAAAACAUUAUACACAGCAAAAACAAGUGUGUGAUAAUCAACCAUGAUACACUUAGUUCUUUUCAGCAAUACAAUGACCCAAGGUAAUUCCAAUAAACUUUGAAUGGAAAAUGCUAUUCACAUCCACAGAGUGGAUAAUCUAAACAUAUGAUUUUCACUUUUAUUUUGUUUUGUUUUGUUUUUUGUUCUGAUUUUUCUUUCCCAAUAUGGCUCAUUUAGAAAUUUGUUAAAAUGAAUAUAAACAUAUAAUCUAUAUCAGAUUGCUUAUUAACAUGGGGAUAAAGGAGGUAAGGAAGGAAAGAAGAAAAAAAUUGUAACUCAAAAUCUCAAAAAAAAAAUGAAUGUUGAAACACAUCUCUAUCUGUAAUUGGAAAAAUAAUAUACUGUUAAAAUUUAAAAGGCACAUUUUUUAUCAUUAUCACUUUUUAUUGACAGAACAUAUAUGCAUAUGGGUAAUUUUUCAACACUGACCCUUGCAAACACUUCUGUUCCAACUUUUCCCUUCCUUCCCUCCACCUCCUCCCCUAGAUGGCAGGCAAUCUCAUACAUGUUAAACAUGUUAAAGUAUAUCUUAAAUACAAUAUAUAUGUAUAUAUUUAUACAGUUCUCUUGUUGCACAAGAAAAAUCAAAUUUAGAAAGGUAAAAAUAACCUGGGAAGAAAAACAAAAAUUCAAGCAAACAACAGCAGAAAGAGUGUAAAUGCUAAAUUGUGGUCCACACUCAUUUCCCAGUGCUCUUUCACUGGGUGUAGCUGGUUCUGUUAAUUACUGAUCAAUUAGAAUUGAAUUGGACCCUCUCACUGCCAAAGAUAGCCGCUUCCAUCAGAACUGAUCCUCAUAUAGUAUUGUUGUUGAAGUGUAUAAUGAUCUCCUGGUUCUGCUCAUUUCACUUAGCAUCAGUUCAUGUAAGUCUCUCCAAACCUCUCUGUAUUCAUCCUGCUGGUCAUUUCUUACAGAACAAUAAUAUUCCGUAAAUUCAUAUACCAUAAUUUACCCAGCCAUCCUCCAAUUGAUGGGCAUCCAUUCAAUUUCCAGUUUCUAGCCACUAUAAACAGGGCUACCACAAACAUUUUGGCACAUGUGGGUCCCUUUCCCUUCCUUAAUAUCUCUUUGGAAUAUAAGCCCAGUAGUAACACUUCUGGAUCAAAGGGUAUGCACAGUUUGAUAACUUUUUGAAUACAGUUCCAAAUUUUUCUCCAAAAUGGUUGGAUCUGUUUACAAGUCCACCAACAAUAAAUAGAUCAGUGUCCCAGAAAAAGACACAUUAUCUUAAAAAAAAAGAAAAGAAAAGAAAAGAAAAGAAAGAAAGAAAGAAAGAAAGAAAGAAAGAAAGAAAGAAAGAAAGAAAGAAAGAAAGAAAGAAAGAAAAAAGAUAAGACAAGCACAUAUUUCAUUAAUAGGCUCAUGUGCCAUGAAGGUAAAAGAAAAGUCCCCUACAAACCAAAAUUUUUAUAGCAGCACUUUUCAAAAUAUAUCUGCCUCAAAAAAAGAGUUAGGGGGAGUAAAGAAGAUAACCAUAGAUUAAAGAAUUACUAAAUAAAUUAUGCUGAUGGUGGUGAUGGCAGUUAUUGUUGCUAUUGCUGUUGCUAAGGGGCAAUUAUAUCACACAUUAGAUAGAAUGCCAGGCCUGAAAUCAAGAAGAUUUCUCUUCCUGAGUUAAAAUCUGGCCUCAGACACUUACUAGCUGUAUGACCCUGGACAAGCCACUUAACCCUGUUUGACUCAGUUCUUCAUCUAUAAAAUGAGAAGGAAAUGACAAACCACUGCAGUAUCAAAGAAUCAGACAUGGCUCUGCCACAACAUCAUCCUGGACUGCCAAGUCUCAGCAUCUGGGAAAGCUGUAACAAUGACCUAGAAAAGUUGGAACCUCCUGAGUGGGCUAAAGCAAUCAGAAAUGUCAGCGAUAUCUCCAAACUCCAGAACCCCUAGUUUGUCCUUAAACAUGGGUCAAUUUAACUCCUCAAUCACAUGCUUGGCCAGCAAUCCUGUGGAUCAGAGAAAAAUCACCUUAUUCCUGAAGUAUAUCUGUGCUCUGAGGGACAUCUUUGCUUCAAACAAAGUCCCUCAGGGAAGGUGUGAUGGAUUCCAGAAUGGGGAGAGAGAUGGAAAGAAGGGGAGUUUUAGUGGAAAAGUUGGAUAAUUCAUACCACAUAAGAAUUGUGGAAGUAGGAAUUUGGCACAACUGCUCAGGCUCACCCUUUCUCUGGAACUAAGGGAGAAAUGAUCUUGUCCCAUACCCCAGUUAACUUCCCCUAGUGAGGCUUUUGGGUGCCAUUCCAGUGAAAUGGGAGCCAUCUGGUCUUUCUGUGCUUUCCUAGAAGUGAAGGAUGAGGGAUGAGGUCUGGACAUCAAUGGGAAAUAACUUUGGUGUCUUCAGGAAUAUAUCUGAUCUACUUUGAUAAUUAAGCUAUUAAUUCUAUUUUGGCUGGAACCUAUAUUAUCUUAUGUUUGUAUAUUACCAACCCAACACAGUGUGUUAUACAUACUAGGACCUAAUAAAAGUUGAUUGCUUGAUCUCUCUGGAUAUAAUCUCUUGAUAUCUAUAAUAGUUACUAGCUUUUUUGUUAUUGCUGUUGUUGUUCACAGUCACAUCCAACUCUUUAUGACUCUAUUUGGGAUUUUCUUAACAAAGAUACUGGCGUGGCUUGUCAGGCAAUCAAAUUCAAAACUCAAAAGAUUAUCAAUUCCAGUCCCAAGAGAGUUUAUCUCUAAUAGCAAAUUCUACUCAUUGCAGCUUAGGACUAGAUAUACUAUUUAAAAGACUUUUUGUUUUUUGUUUAACAUAUUUUAUAUGUUUAAACUUAUCCUGGUGCAAAAGAUCAAUCAUUAAACAAGCUUAUAGGUUCUCAGUAAACACAUUCCUUGUUUAGAAACUUUAAAUUCUGAACAGGCUCAUUUCUCAGGGCUGAUGACCUUGUUUAUCUUGAUGGUUUCAAGAAAACUGACAAAUGGGGCAGCUAAGUGGUGCACUGGAUAGAGCAUCAGCCCUGAAGUCAGUAGGACCUGAGUUCAAAUGUGGUCUUAGACACUUAACACUUCCUAGCUGUGUGAUCCUGGAUAAGUCACUUAACUCCAAUUGCCUCAGCAAAAAAAGAAAAGAAAAGAAAAGAAAGAAAGAAAGAAAGAAAGAAAGAAAGAAAGAAAGAAAGAAAGAAAGAAAGAAAGAAAGAAAGAAAGAAAGAAAGAAAGAAAGAAAGAAAGAAAGAAAGAAAGAAAGAACUGGCAAGUUUAAAAAUUAGGGAGGAGUUGACAAAGACUCCAGGGAAGGGGGUUAGCUUACUGUUGCCCACCCCAACUAUUCUUAAUGUUUUCAUGGUCUGUGCUGUUUAAUACUUCCCCCCACUCUGUGAAGGGGGAAAAAGGUGUUCACUUGGAGGUGAACUAAUAAGGCUUUCAUCUCAUCCCUCUUGUUUCACAUACAGUAAUUGCCAAUUUUAGGUUUAAUAUGAUGGCAAUAACUUCAAAUAAUUUAGUUAACAAUUUUAGAAUUUUCCUAAUAGCCAAUAUUAGUCUUAUAAUAAUAAUAAUAAUUACAUAUAUUAUAUAAAUAUAUGUAAUUAUAAAACAAUAAUUAUAUAAUAAUAUUAAAUACUUAUAGUAAUAAUAAUAAAGUCUUAGCUGUAAUUUCUAUUGCCUUAAAUAAGUUUCUCUUUUGUUUUAGGGAGAAACAAGACAGUUCUUAAAAUUGAGAUAGAACAGAUUUACAUGAAAUUUUGCCAAAACCUUAUCAUACAGCAUUUUGUCUCCUCUGGCAUCUCAGAGAAGGUGAAAAGAUGGCAAAGUUUCCCUAGGACCUUUGCCAAAAAUUGCAAGAAUUUCCAAGUUUUGGUGUCUCCAGUCAAAAAAAAACUUGCUGAGUAUAGAGCUCAUGAUGACCCAAACAAGCUUUCUCCCAGCGGCUUGGGGUGUCCCAGUUAUAGAACUGAGGGAGAAAAAAAUUGGGGGGCUUACCUUGACAAGGAGGGAAUCAAGCCAAUGGAGGCCAGACUCUAGCUGAACCAGGCCACCAAAUGUUGAGAUUGGGAAGGAAUCUCAAAAGGUUGGGGUCACAGACUGAUGUCAUCAGGUGUCUCAAAAGGGUUUGCAGGUUUGAACCUAUAUCCAAAUCAAGGGGGGAAAUGUAUUGCAGUUGUAAUGCCAAUUGAAAUGGUCUGAAUUCCAAGAGAGUUUAGCAAGGAACCUGAAGCAAGAACAUUUAUCUAGUUCUUCGUGUUAUUGAUAUGCUAAUUUUAUGGCCUAGAGGUAGAACUGAGGAGUGGUCUCAGGAUUGAUUAUCACUGACCAGAAGACUUUAGAAUCUCUGACAGACAAGAUUGUCAAAACAAUCAUAUUCUAAGGUUAGAGAGUCUCAGAAUCACUAAUAUAUCUUCCCUAAAACCUAAGGGAAAAAAAUAUUUUAUUCCUAGGUCAGAAGACUUUUACUGUCAUUGACAGAACAAUAGCAUUUUUAGAUCAGAGGGCCUCAGGAUCACAGAUUUCAAAGCCAAAAAAUUUAGAAUCACUGACAGACUGUUAGAACAGAAGUACCCUAAGGUCAGGAGACCUUAAAAUUAUUGCUGUCUCCAACAAGAUGAAUACAGAGAAGCUUGGAGAGAAUUACAUGAACUGAUGCUAAGUGAAAUGAGCAGAACCAAGAGAUCAUUAUAUACGUCAACAACAAUACUGUAUGAAGAUGUAAUCUGAUGGAAGUGGAUUUCUUUGACAAAGAGACCUAAUUCAGUUUCAAUUGAUUAAUGAUGGACAGAAGCAGCUAUACCCAAAGAAAAAACACUGGGAAAUGAAUGUAAACUGUUUGCAUUUUUGUUUUUCUUCCCGGGUUGUUUCUACCUUCUGAAUCCAAUUCUCCCUGUGCAACAAGAAAACUGUUUGGAUCUGCACACAUACAUUGUAUCUAGGAUAUACUAGGACAUAUUCAACAUAUAUAGGACUGCUUGCCAACUAGGGGAGGGGGGUGGGAGGGAAAAAUAGGAACAGAAGUGAGUGCAAGGGAUAAUGUUGUAAAAAAAAAAUUACCCUGGCAUGGAUUCUGUCAAUAAAAAGUUAAAAAAAAAAAAUUAUUGCUGUCUCCCCUAGAAGAUAUAUUCCACAAGUAUGAGAGAGGAGGAAGUACAUGGGUAGUGAGUGGGUAGAGUGGUAACUAGCCCCCUUUUCUUUAACCUUACCUUCCCAAUAACAGAAGAAGAGGAAACUCACUACUUGAGAAGGACCUUGUCUCAAUUCUUUCCUAUUCUUUUCCAAAAGUCUGCUACCCCACCUAAUUUCUUGCACAUACUUCUUGAAAUACACAGUCAGUGACUGAAGGAAGAAUGUAGAGGGCCACAGAUAGUGGGGGAACUCUGGGUAACGUAUAAGACCCUUCAGCCCAGAGAGAACCUGCUGAUAAUGUCUGGUUCAGCUCCCCAUGUCCUUUUGGUGCUCUCCUCUUUCCUGAGAAAUCAAGGAGGGGGUGACUACCUGUGUUCUACUUGAAGCAAGGAAAACUUAAAGUAAGGGUGUAUUUACAUAUCAAUAGCAGGGUGCUUUUUUAUUUUUAAGUUAUUUAACACUUACCCAGUGUGCUGUGGUGAUGUGGUGAUGUAAUGGUUCUACAAUUGGCACAUGCUCAGUGUGCUGUAGUGAUAUAAUCACUGAGAGGACUUGAAAUUAACUCCAUCUUUGACCAUCCUCAUGGGUUCCUGCUUCAUCACUCCUCCCUUAAGACCAAGAACUCGGGCCAGUCCGAGAUCCUCCAGAGAGCUAGUCCAGACCAUAUAUUUUGGCACCCCAACUUGGGGGCUCUAGAAAGCACACUAUAGGAGUGUUUCUUCAUGUCUUUCAAGAACAAAGUCAGAGCUGCCCUUACAGAUACAGAAUGACAAUGGAAAGGAAUGAAAGGAAACUUCUGCCCCAUUAACAUCCCCAUCAUUCAUGUUCUUUUACAGGAGGACUCUGGUGAGAUUCACAUUCAAAGUUGUAUGCACCUCAAAGGCUUUUUUACUCACAUUACUCACAUAAAGUGGUCUGGUUGAGAAAUCCAACCCCUUGCUGCCUUUCCCUCUAUAUUCUCAUUCUUUAUAACAGUAAUUCUCCAAAUUUUUGGUCAAGACACUAAUACUCUUAAAAAUUAUUCUUAAAAGAUGGAGAAUCUCCACUUCCAGAAGUUUCAUUUAUAUGAAAUUUACUAGAAUCUAUAUUAGACAUUUAAACAUUUUAAUAUUUUUAUGAAACUUGUUUAGACUUCCCUUUCUCUUGAAAGUGUCUCUGGAAGUUCCAGGAGACCUCAAACCAUACUUUGAGAACCAAUAAUAGUGACCUCUAGAUUUUUUUUUUAUUAUCAUAAACCUUUCAGCAAAAACCCCAGUACUAUCUGCCACCACCCCACUUUAACCCCUUGGAAUAUACAAUCAGGUAAUAUUUAGACAGGUUGCAUCUUUUUAUUUCCUAAGAUUUCCCCAAGUUAUAGGUCUGGACAAGGAGCCAAAUAUCUGCCAUUAGUCAUUUUAAUUAGGACCAGGCAGGGCAUAAGAAAGCUCCUAAGUGAAUCACAGACACACCCACGCCCCCCAAAAAAAAAUCACUCCCAGAGAGAGACCAAUGGAAAAACAACGAGACCGGAAGAGCUAUGAUCCUUAAGAAGCACCACGCCGUUGAUCAUAGUCUGCUUGCAGCCAGUCUGCGAGGAACCGGAGCGGGAGCGCUGAAAGCGAGAGCCCAGCCCAGCAGGACAAGCCCGCCGGUCCAAAUAGGUUUUAGGCAGGGAAUCAGCGCCGCUAAUUGUCAAAGGCCGACGGAGCCAGAGGACUGAACCCCAGCAGCAGUUACUUUUAUGUGUCUUCGAUUUACCCGGUCUGGAUUGCCCCGGUUCUGGGUGUUCGUCUUUGUCUUCAUGCUUUUAAGACGCAAUGAUGCCUCAGCAGAGGAAGAAUCUUUUCUGAGAAGGAACCAGGGAGAGUCUAUCCUGUUCCACAUAGGCAAAGAUUUUGGAAAUAAGACUCUAUCGAUUGAAUGGAAUUUUCUGACUGAGAAUAUACGCCUACUCAAACUCUGGCCAGAUCAAAGCAAGCCAAUGUGGAUCAAUACUCAGCAGAGAUUCAAAAGCAGACUAUUUAUACAUGACUUAAGUUCUCUGAUGAUCACAAAUCUGACCUCUAAAGAUAGUGGAAAUUAUGAAGCUCACAUUAAAUCAGUCUUGGGAAAGGUGAAUAUCCAAAAUUUCAUAUUAACUGUUUCAGGUAUUGACUUUCUUCUGAGACAUGGAUCGGCCCAUCUGAAGCUUUGAUAGCAGACAGCACGGCUAAGCCCAUUCCCUCCAUGGACAGAGCCUCUCCUUAGCAGGAAGCAGGGGGAAUGGGAAAAUGGUUGAAUCAUUGUUAAAAUUUUAACUGUAUUACUGUGUUUAAGAUUUGUUAAAAUUGGGAUUUGUUAAAACUGUUUAACUAUUGCUGUAUGUUUGAGGGAUUUUUAGGAAACUUACUGUGCUAUCUGUUAUGUAUAGGAAUUGUGAUUCACUCUUGGGAUUUAUAUGUGGAAUAAUCAUUUGAUAAUUUCUUUUCCUUGAAAAGAAAAAAAAAAGGAGGAAGAAAACUGGUUCAAAAUUGGUCAGGAAAUUGGUAAAAACUGAUGUAUAUUUCUUAGGCACUUCUGCCCUCCUCCCUAUCUCAUUAGUUCAGAUUGAAUUGGAAAUUAUUUAACUCCUUGCUUAAAAUUUACUGGACUAUGAUUUGCUGGUUAUGUUUUAACUUUGAAAUCCCUUAUUCUGCUGGAAUCGCCCUUGCCCUGCUAAACUCAGUUUGAGGGAUUAUUUUUUAGAAACAACCAGGAAUCAGAUACCUGUCCUGGGACUGGCAGUCUCUCGAAUCUGUUUCUCCACUCCUGUUACCCCAGUUCCUUAAUUAGUAUUUCAACAUACUUAAAAGAACCUAGCAGCACUGAUAUGAGGACUCUAAUAGUUCUGGGUUGCCUGCCUUGAUCUAACUGCAUAAUUUUCUCAAAAAUGUGUUUCCUAGUAACAGCUUCUGUUCUAUUGAGAGGGGACAGAUGGAGCUACUCCAGGACCCACUUUUUCCCUCUUUAGAGUCCCUAACAGACUUGGGAUGCCCUCUUAGGAUGGGCAGCAAAACUGUCUUGAACACUGCUACUCCCUAUAUAAUCAGAGCUGAGUUAAUGCACAAAUGACCCCAGACCUAACUCACAGUGAACUGUCCAUCUCAAACUGGAUUCUCCGGCUGAGAUGCUCCCCAGCUGCAGAGGACCUGCUAUUUCUGAAACAGGGAGGCCUGUGUGCCUCCCUAAAUGAGAAAUGCUGUUUUUAUGCUAAUAACUCUGGGGUUAUCAGGGAGAGACUUGUCCUUGCAAAAUCCUUGCAUUUUUCUAGAUUUAGUCUGGUUUAUUUGCUUUACAUAGGGUUGAUAAAAAUUAUAAUGCUAAUGAUUCUAGAGGAAGGAAAUUCAAUGAUUUGAACAUUCAGAAGAGAGUGAGGAAUGUUAUGCCACAAUACUCAGUUUCUCUAAUUUUUCUGACCCAGUCUUGACUCAGUUUCUCUGCUUCUCAAAGCUCAGUCUGUAAAACUUCCUCUCCCUCUUUAUCAGAAUAUUUGAUAAGGAUAAAAGAUCUUAUGUUUUAGAAUAUCAAAAUGCCUCUUCCCAUCCCAAGCCAUUGGAAUGUCAGAUACCGUCUAAUCAAGAUGCCCCUUCCCAUGUCCAGGGUACCUCCCCCUAUUAUGUCAUCCCUCUCCAGAGGCUCACCCCAUCCUGAUAGAGUCCUGUUCCUGCUCUCAGCACCCUGACUCCACCCCUGCCUCAGUCUACCCCCUGAGUCUGAGCCAUGUGUAUAUAGGUCAUCGAGAACUCUCAUUGUUAGCUGGAUUCAUGGAGAUAAUAGCCCUGGGACCAAACCAUGGAUCCAUUUGGUCCCAGUAAAUCUCUCCUAUUUAAUAAAUUAUUAA
ensembl:lncRNA